UACGUAGGGGGCAAGCGUUGUCCGGAUUUAUUGGGCGUAAAGAGCGUGUAGGCGGCCAUGUAGGUCCGUUGUGAAAACUCGAGGCUCAACCUCGAGACGCCGAUGGAAACCAUGUGGCUAGAGUCCGGAAGAGGAGAGUGGAAUUCCUGGUGUAGCGGUGAAAUGCGCAGAUAUCAGGAGGAACACCGAUGGCGAAGGCAGGUCUCUGGGCCGCAACUGACGCUGAGGAGCGAAAGCAUGGGGAGCGAACAGG
rnacentral:rRNA from 1 species